rnacentral:tRNA from 1 species
UCUUAGCUCAGUUGGUAGAGCAGCGGACUCUUAAUCCGUAGGUCGAGUGUUCGAGUCACUCAGGG